rnacentral:lncRNA from 1 species
AGAGACAGCAGGAAUGAGCUCUCCGACGGAGGGCAUGAACAGCAAGUGCAAAGGCCCUGCGACUCGAAAGAGCAUGAAAGACUGAGGAAGCGGCCAGUGUGGCUCCAACACAGUGGAGGAGUGGGGGGAUCCUACUGAGAUAGAGGCCCUGGAGCUGGCUCCUCCACAGCUCUCAGGAAUGACAGUAAACACAGACGGCCCUGCAUGUAUUCCGGCUGUGGCAGCCUUCCUCCUGGGCUGCACAUCAGGCUAACAAGCCCAGCCCUCAGCUUCACAGGGAUUGGAGAGCUGGUGACCCUAGUCAAGGAAGCUGGUGACCCUGGAUCAGUUGCCUCCCCUCUCUGUGCCUAAAUCCCCCACCCCACUUCUGUCAAUUAGGAGGAUGAUGCCUUCUUCAAAGUGUUGUCAUAAAGAUUAAAUCCUUAUUAAAGUCUGUUUUUGUUUUUGUUUCUGUUU